rnacentral:rRNA from 1 species
GAUGCAGCCAUGCCGCGUGUAUGAAGAAGGCCUUCGGGUUGUAAAGUACUUUCAGCAGUGAGGAAGGCAGGUACGUUAAUAGCGUGCUUGUUUGACGUUAGCUGCAGAAGAAGCACCGGCUAACUCCGUGCCAGCAGCCGCGGUAAUACGGAGGGUGCGAGCGUUAAUCGGAAUUACUGGGCGUAAAGCGCAUGCAGGUGGUUUGUUAAGUCAGAUGUGAAAGCCCGGGGCUCAACCUCGGAAUUGCAUUUGAAACUGGCAGACUAGAGUACUGUAGAGGGGGGUAGGAAUUUCAGGUGUAGCGGUGAAAUGCGUAGAGAUCUGAAGGAAUACCGGUGGCGAAGGCGGCCCCCUGGACAGAUACUGACACUCAGAUGCGAAAGCGUGGGGAGCAAACAGGAUUAGAUACCCUGGUAG